UGACCAUAAAGUUGUGAAACAUCUGCUCCACAUCAGCCAUCACAGCGUAUGGUUCACCUCUGAAACAGAGAAGCACACCUGGCUUUUGUGGGUGAUAAAUGCCAAAGCUUGGGAGAUACCAACAUUCUUGGUGGGGUUUAAGAGGAGCCUUUUCUGUGUGUCCUUUGCUGAAUGUCCUUUUCAUAAACUCCACGAAAUGCUCUUUCAUUUCUGGCUUUCUCUUUAGUGUCUUGCGUAGAGACAUGAGGCGGGUGAGUGCCUGCUCUCUAUUGUUAGGCAAGCGGAGUCUGGGAUGACGAAAAGGGAGGGGAGCCACCCAGUUGUUUGCCUCAUCUUUAACAAACCCAUGGUGCAUAACAUUCAGGAAUGACUCUUCUUCUGCAGAGAGUGCUAGUUUGUCGUCAUCUGCUGUUUGUUUGAAGAUGUGUUUGCUCAGCUCAUCUUUGGGUUGCAUGCUCUCAAAAAAGGGAUUGUCUUCUGUGAACUUUACCUUUGUGUAGAUUCUGUUUUCACAGGGAGAGAGGAAACUGGGGCAGCCGUUAUCAAGUAUGUUUGUCUUGUAGGAGUUCACUGUGGGUCUGUGGGCUCCUGAGAGGCAGACAUCUCCAAUUAUUACCCACCCGAGAUCAAGCUGUUGGGCGUAAGGAGCUUCGUUUGGGCCAUUUAUCUGUCGGCGGACCAUGUGAGCCUGGAUCACAUCUCUGCCCAGCAGGAGAAGGAUGUCAGCUGAUGGAUCAAGUGGCGGUAUUUGUGUGGCUAUGUGAGAGAGGUGAGGAUGUGAGGAUGGGCGGCUGCAGCUUCAAGCGUGGGUAUCUCACUUCUGUUGUUUGGGAUCUGGUUGCAUUCGGUGAGUAUGGGUAGUGUUAUUGACACUUUUCUGUUUAUGCCCUCGAUGGCAAAGCCAUGAGCUCUGCGCCCUUGUGUGUUCACUGUUUCUGAGCAUGUUUUCAUUUUGUACGGGAGGGCCUCACCAUGCAGGUUGAACAUGUCAAAAAAGGGGGACCGAGCUAAUGACACAUUACUCUGAUCAUCUAAGAUCGCGUACGUUUUCCUUUUCUUAUUUGGGGCUGAGCAGGGGUACACAUUCAAUAGGCAAAUUUUGGAACAUGACUUUCCCUGUAGUCCUUGUCCACAUACCUCAGUGCAGCUAGAUGUGGUCACUGUGGGGCUUAGGGUAUCUGGCUCCCCGCCAUGGGCCAAUGGUAGGGUGUCAGGGCCUGUAUCUGUCCAUGGGGGUGGCCCAGCAUGCAUGGCGGAAGUGUGUGAAUCACUGUUGCACUCCACGCAGCGAAUAACAGCUUUACAGUUUUUAGCCCUGUGUUUUGUUGAUGAGAGACACUUGUAGCAGAUUGACAGCUCCUUAAGCAGACCUCUCCUCUCAUCCAAUGUCUUCAUUCUGAAUCCUCUACAUUUGGCAAGAGAAUGUGGUUUCUUGUGUACUGGACACUGUUUAUUGGGGUCGAGAGGGGGAGCCUUUGGUUCAUUGUUAGCUGCACCAACCUGUGUUUUGUUCGUUGUGAUGGGAACUUUGAACCGUGUUUGUCUCACUAGUGUCCUUUCUGCUUUCAUGUGUGCAGGGCCGCAGUUUUGCAGAAUGAAGCUGGGGUCUGUUCUCAUUUCAGCGUGGUUGUUGACAAACUGGACGAAAUAGGAGAAAGGUGGGUAGUGAGCUUUGUGAUCUUUUUUAUAUCUUGACCCUUCUUUGACCCACGCCUCCUGCAGGCCACCAGGGAGCUUUUCCACAAUUGGGUUUAUUCCUCUUGAAGUGUCGAGAAAGCUGAGGCCUGGUAGAUACCCUUCAUCUUUCGCCACCUCGAGCUCUUGGAGGAGGUCUGCAAGCUCUUGCAGGAGGUGACUGUCCUAAUGGCCAACUUUGGGAAAACUUUCCAAGCGUCCGAACAGCAAAGCCUCGAUGCCUUCUGAGCAUGCUGGAGAGACUCACCGCUCAGCCAUUUGGUAAGUAGAUCAAGCUCUUCGCAGCAUUUCAAGUUCAAAUCUCCAGUGGCGUUCUGAAACAUAGAUUUCCAUGCUACAUAGGUCUCUGGCCUGUUAUCAAACACUGUGAGUCCUGCUGUCAGAAGGUCACAACGUGAGAGGAGCACAGCAAGGCUUUGUCUCAUCUUCCAUAUUAGCAUCAUUAUGAAAGUGAGUGCUUACAUAUUCUUGAGUGCGGCUGGCAGCCAUGGCUAGCAGGAACCUCUGGUGGCUCUUCCAACUCUGUUUGGUCCAAAACUGCAGCCUCGAGGACCCUUGCUGCUGCGAACGCUGCUUUACACGGGACUCACACAGGAGGCGGAACGGCAGCGGAAUG